UUAAACUGGAGAGUUUGAUUCUGGCUCAGAUUGAACGCUGGCGGCGUGCCUAACACAUGCAAGUCGAACGCGAAAGUCUCUUCGGAGAUGAGUAGAGUGGCGCACGGGUGAGUAACGCGUGGAUUAUCUACCUACUGGUACGGGACAACAGUUGGAAACGACUGCUAAUACCGUAUACGCUGGUAACGGGAAAGGGGGCCUCUUCUUGAAAGCUCUCGCCAGUAGAUGAGUCCGCGUUUCAUUAGCUAGACGGUGGGGUAACGGCCUACCGUGGCAACGAUGAAUAGCAGGCCUGAGAGGGUGGCCUGCCACACUGGGACUGGAACACGGCCCAGACUCCUACGGGAGGCAGCAGUGGGGAAUAUUGCGCAAUGGACGAAAGUCUGACGCAGCGACGCCGCGUGGAGGAUGAAGGUUUUCGGAUCGUAAACUCCUGUCAAGAGGGAAGAAACCUAU
rnacentral:rRNA from 1 species